ensembl:snoRNA SNORA70 Small nucleolar RNA SNORA70
CUGCAGCCAACUAGGCAGCCAGGUUCCUUUCCUCAUGGGGGCCUGGCAUGCAAUGGCAGCAAACAGCAGCCUUCGUAGUGUGGGCAGUCUGUUGCCUACCUGAGUUGCCCUAGGGGACUUUGGAGGCAGUU